UUUCGGUCUUUGGAGCGAAGUGGAACUACCUCUUCCCAUACCGAACAGAGAAGUAAAACGCUUCAGCACCGACGAUAGUAAUGCCGCAAGGGACUGCGAAAAUAGGUCAAGGCCGGAGGA
rnacentral:rRNA from 1 species